rnacentral:rRNA from 1 species
GACUACAUGAAGCUGGAAUCGCUAGUAAUCGCGGAUCAGAAUGCCGCGGUGAAUACGUUCCCGGGUCUUGUACACACCGCCGUCACACCAUGGGAGCCGGUAACGCCCGAAGUCAGUGACCCAACCGUAAGGAGGGAGCUGCCGAAGGCGGGACAGGUAACUGGGGUGAAGUCGUAACAAGGUAGC